UUUAAGAAAAGGUAAUAACUACUCAUAUUAUUAUGACUGUUGAUUACAUUCAAUACAAAUCCUAUUCAGCAAUUUAAAUCUCAGUGAAUGUGAUACUUCACUACACAUGCGGUCAGAUUUUUCGGAGUUCCCCUCUCAGGUAUGAAUUCGAUUGGAUCGGACUACCAAAAAAAUAUUUUACUUGCAGUUCCCAUCGUUGCAGGUAUU
rnacentral:lncRNA from 1 species